UACAGAGGUGCCAAGCGUUAGGCGGAAUCACUGGGCUUAAAGCGUGUGUAGGUGGAUUUGUAAGUACCUUGUGAAAUCCCACGGCUCAACCGUGGAACUGCUCGGUAUACUGCGAAUCUUGAGCCACUUAGGGGCUACCGGAACAAAUGGUGGAGCGGUGAAAUGCGUAGAUAUCAUUUGGAACGCCAAUGGUGAAAACAGGUAGCUGGGAGUGUGCUGACACUGAGACACGAAAGCCAGGGGAGCGAACGGG
rnacentral:rRNA from 1 species